rnacentral:tRNA from 1 species
GGUUGUGUGGUGUAGUUGGUUAUCACAUCUGCUUUACACGCAGAAGGUCGUCAGUUCGAGCCUGGCCGCGAUCA